UGAAUACGAGACGCUAAGGCGUCGAAGUAGUGUAUGUCAUACUUCCAAGAAAAGCUUGCACUGUCAUAGAUAAAAAACGCCUGUACCAUAACCGACACAGGUGGGUAGGUAGAGUAUACUAAGGGGCGCGAGAUAACUCUCUCUAAGGAACUCGGCAAAAUAACUCCGUAACUUCGGGAGAAGGAGUGCCUUAUUCGUAAGGUUGCAAUAACAAGAUCCAAGCAACUGUUUAUCAAAAACACAGGUCUCCGCUAAGUCGUAAGACGAUGUAUGGGGGCUGACGCCCGCCCAGUGCCAGAAGGUUAAAGAAGUUGGUUAGCAAUUGCGAAGCUGAUAACUGAAGCCCUGGUGAACGGCGGCCGUAACUAUAACGGUCCUAAGGUAGCGAAAUUCCUUGUCGGGUAAGUUCCGACCCGCACGAAAGGCGUAAUGAUUUGGAUACUGUCUCGGAGAGGGGCUCGGUGAAAUAGACUUGUCUGUGAAGAUGCGGACUACCUGCACCAGGACAGAAAGACCCUAUGAAGCUUUACUGUAACUUGAAAUUGAAAUUGGACUUUAUUCGCGCAGUAUAGGUGGGAGGCGUUGAUUAUAAUCUUGUGGGAUUAUUGGAGCCAUCAGUGAGAUACCACUCUUGUAAUGUUAGAUUUCUAACUUUGAAUCAUUAUCUGGUCAAAGAACAGUUUCAGGCGGGCAGUUUGACUGGGGCGGUCGCCUCCUAAACGGUAACGGAGGCGUACAAAGGUUUCCUCUGAACGGUUAGAAAUCGUAUCUAGAGUGUAAAGGCAUAAGGAAGCUUGACUGUGAGACCUACAAGUCGAGCAGGGACGAAAGUCGGUCUUAGUGAUCUGACGGUACUGAGUGGAAAGGCCGUCACUCAACGGAUAAAAGUUACUCUAGGAUAACAGGCUGAUCUCCCCCAAGAGUUCACAUCGACGGGGAGGUUUGGCACCUCGAUGUCGGCUCAUCGCAUCCUGGGGCGGUAGUACGUCCCAAGGGUUGGGCUGUUCGCCCAUGAAAGCGGUACGCGAGCUGGGUUCAGAACGUCGUGAGACAGUUCGGUCCAUAUCCGGUGUAGGCGUUAGAAUAUUGAGAGGAGCCUUCUUUAGUACGAGAGGACCGAGAAGGACAUACCUCUGGUGUACCAGUUAUCGUGCCAACGGUAAACGCUGGGUAGCUAUGUAUGGAGUGGAUAACCGCUGAAAGCAUCUAAGUGGGAAGCCCACCUCAAGAUAAG
rnacentral:rRNA from 1 species